CCAAUGCGUCUUCGGACGGUUGUUUGGUGAGUCAUAAUAAUUAAUCGAAUCGCAUGGGUUCAUCCCGGCGAUGGGUCAUUCAAGUUUCUGCCCUAUCAGCUGUGAUGUUAGUGUAUUGGACUAACAUGGCUAAAACGGGUGACGGAGGAUUAGGGUCUGAUUCCGGAGAGGGAGCCUGAGAAACGGCUACCACUUCUAAGGAAGGCAGCAGGGGCGUAAAUUACCCAAUCCCGACACGGGGAGGUAGUGACAAGAAAUAACAAUACUAGGCUUUUCAAGUCCGGUAAUUGGAAUGAGUACAACGCAAAAUCCUUAACGAGGAUCCAUUGGAGGGAAAGUCUGGUGCCAGCAGCCGCGGUAAUACCAGCUCCAAUAGCGUAUAUUAACGUUGUUGCAGUUAAAAGGCUCGUAGUCGAACUUAUGAUCUUGUAGGCUGAUCCCUCUGCCUAGCGCAGUGCGUGUUUGUGCCUACUGGUCAUCCUUCUGGAGAACGCUUCUGCACUUGAUUGUGUGGGCAGUGGUUACCAGAUCAUUUACUGUGAGUAAAUCAGAGUGUUUAAAGCAGGCUUGAUGCCUGAAUGUUCUAGCAUGGAAUAAUAAGAUAGGGCUUUGGUUCUAUUUUGUUGGCUUCUAGGACUGAAGUAAUGAUUGAUAGGGAUAGUUGGGGGUGCUAGUAUUUAACGGUCAGCGGUGAAAUGCGUGGACCCGUUAAAGACUAACUUAUGCGAAAGCAUUCACCAAAGAUAUUUUCUUUGAUCAAGAACGAAAGUUGGGGGAUCGAAGACGAUCAGAUACCGUCGUAGUCUCAACCAUAAACUAUGCCAACUAGGGAUUGGCAGUCGUUGAUUAUUGACUCUGUCAGCACCUUAUGAGAAAUCAAAGUCUCUGGGUUCUGGGGGGAGUAUGGUCGCAAGGCUGAAACUUAAAGGAAUUGACGGAAGGGCACCACCAGGAAUGGAGCCUGCGGCUUAAUUUGACCCAACACGGGGAAACUUACCAGGUCCGGACAUAGUAAGGAUUGACAGAUUGAAGAUCUUUCUUGAUUCUAUGGGUAGUGGUGCAUGGCCGUUCUUAGUUGGUGGAGUGAUUUGUCUGGUUAAUUCCGUUAACGAACGAGACCUCAGCCUACUAACUAGACGCAGCAAUUUUCGGAUUGACUGUGCGCUUCUUAGAGGGACUAUCGGUGAUUAGCCGAUGGAAGUAUGAGGCAAUAACAGGUCUGUGAUGCCCUUAGAUGUUCUGGGC
rnacentral:rRNA from 1 species